rnacentral:rRNA from 1 species
GAUCAUGGCUCAGGAUGAACGCUAGCUACAGGCUUAACACAUGCAAGUCGAGGGGAAACGUAUAUUGGAAGCUUGCUUCCGAUAGGCGUCGACCGGCGCACGGGUGAGUAACGCGUAUCCAACCUGCCCAUCACUUGGGAAUAACCUUGCGAAAGUAAGACUAAUGCCCAAUGACAUUUAUAGAAGGCAUCUGAAAUGAAUUAAAGAUUUAUCGGUGAUGGAUGGGGAUGCGUCUGAUUAGCUUGUUGGCGGGGUAACGGCCCACCAAGGCAACGAUCAGUAGGGGUUCUGAGAGGAAGGUCCCCCACAUUGGAACUGAGACACGGUCCAAACUCCUACGGGAGGCAGCAGUGAGGAAUAUUGGUCAAUGGGCGAGAGCCUGAACCAGCCAAGUAGCGUGCAGGACGACGGCCCUAUGGGUUGUAAACUGCUUUUAUAAGGGAAUAAAGUGGGUCACGUGUGACUUUUUGCAUGUACCUUAUGAAUAAGGACCGGCUAAUUCCGUG